AAUAUAGCAGGGGUAUGUUGCCUUUUGUGAACUUUGCUCUCGUAAACUUCAGGAAAAUUAAUUGCAUUGUUUUUGGGUGAACCUGUGUUAUAUGUGAAUAUAGGUUAGUAAAUGGUUGUACAUGU